GAUGAACGCUGGCGGCGUGCCUAAUACAUGCAAGUCGAACGAACGGACGAUAAGCUUGCUUCUCUGAUGUUAGCGGCGGACGUGUGAGUAACACGUGGAUAACCUACCUAUAAGACUGGGAUAACUUCGGGAAACCGGCGCUAAUACCGGAUAAUAUUUUGAACCGCAUGGUUCAAAAGUGAAAGACGGUCUUGCUGUCACUUAUAGAUGGAUCCGCGCUGCAUUAGCUAGUUGGUAAGGUAACGGCUUACCAAGGCAACGAUGCAUAGCCGACCUGAGAGGGUGAUAGGCCACACGGGAACUGAGACACGGUCCAGACUCCUACGGGAGGCAGCAGUAGGGAACCGUACGCAAUGGGCGAAAGCCUGACGGAGCAACGCCGAGUGAGUGAUGAAGGUGUUCGGAUCGUAAAACUCUGUUAUUAGGGAAGAACAUAUGUGUAAGGAACUGUGCACAGCUUGACGGUACCUAAUCAGAAAGCCACGGCUAACUACGUG
rnacentral:rRNA from 1 species